AUUGAACGCUGGCGGCAUGCCUUACACAUGCAAGUCGAACGGCAGCGGGGGAGAAGCUUGCUUUUCCUGCCGGCGAGUGGCGAACAGGUGAGUAAUACAUCGGAACGUGCCCUGUAGUGGGGGAUAACUAGUCGAAAGAUUAGCUAAUACCGCAUACGACCUGAGGGUGAAAGUGGGGGACCGCAAGGCCUCAUGCUAUAGGAGCGGCCGAUGUCUGAUUAGCUAGUUGGUGGGGUAAAGGCCUACCAAGGCGACGAUCAGUAGCUGGUCUGAGAGGACGAUCAGCCACACUGGGACUGAGACACGGCCCAGACUCCUACGGGAGGCAGCAGUGGGGAAUUUUGGACAAUGGGCGAAAGCCUGAUCCAGCAAUGCCGCGUGUGUGAAGAAGGCCUUCGGGUUGUAAAGCACUUUUGUCCGGAAAGAAAUGGCUCUGGUUAAUACCUGGGGUCGAUGACGGUACCGGAAGAAUAAGGACCGGCUAACUACGUGCCAGCCGUCGCAGUAA
rnacentral:rRNA from 1 species